UACAGAGACCUCAAGCGUUAUCCGGAAUCAUUGGGCGUAAAGCGUACCGAUAGGUGGUUAUGCAAGUCAGAGGUGAAAUCUCCGAGCUCAACUCGGAAUCUGUCCUUUGAAACUGCACAACUAGAGGGGCAAAGAGGAAGCUGGAACGAACGGUGUAGUAGUGAAAUGCGUUGAUAUCGUUCGGAACACCAAUAGCGUAGGCAGGCUUCUGGGUGCCACCUGACACUGCUACGGACGAAAGCGUGGGGAAGCGAAGUGGG
rnacentral:rRNA from 1 species